CCAAAAUACCGUAUUCUUCGUAUUUUCUUUAGUGCUGGGUUUUCUACUUUAUGAAACAUAUCUUUGUUAGAUUCUGGCUCUAGUUUUGUACUAAAAGAGCUUGUUGAAUCCUAGGGUUACACCCAUAUCGGGUGAAAUAUCCUUAAGGACAAUGUCUUAAGUGACAUGUCUCAAGCCUUCAAAAAUUUUCUGCAAGGUUCGUGAUCAAGUAUUUUUCUGAUAAGUUUCGUGAUCAAGUAUUUUCCGUAAGAUUUCUAAUAAUCUUAAAGAUAUUUACGCUCUAAUCUUACGGAGUAUCAUUUUGACAAUGUCCAAGUCACUAUUCUAAUUAAUCCCAUCCAAAGGUAUAGAGUUCCACUCAAUCUUUAAAAAGAAGGUAAAGGUGGUUCUGCAGAAGACGCUUGAUGAUUGGAACUAUAUUAGUGUGAAGUGGUGCCACUCCUAUGAAAUUGUGACGAAUUUCUAGAGCACUUAUGAAUACCUGGACACGCGCAUGGCCUCUUAGCGCAAAACCGCGAUAACGACAAAGAUUGUGCGGGUAUAAUGUGAUCGAAUAAAACUCUAGGCUUACAAAAGAAUUCUUGGUUCAUAGAAGUUAUAAACUUCAUCAAUUGUUCUAUAAGUUUAAUCUUGUUUUAUCUAGGUUUGGUUCAUAGUCAACGGGACAUCAGAUUCGACGCAUUGUACUCAUAUGUGAAAACCCAGCAAAAUUUCAUUUUAUUUCUUAUUAAUCUUUUGAGAUAUGCGGGGGAUUGUUGAAAAAUUAUUAUAUCUCAAAAGAUUAAUAAUCAUUUUAUUAAUCUCCUUAAUAUCUACAAUUCAUUUUGGUCAACUAUGUCUGUUGCCAACGUUUAUUUUUAUUCAAUUUUAUCAAAUGAAUGGUGUUGAUUACCAAUUGCCUUUAUGGCAUUUAAUCCUCUUAAAUUUUGAACGUUGGCAGCUAACCAAAUGAUUUAGACAUAAUCUCUCCUUUGGCCUAUAUAUAUGAUUUUGUGUGUUCAUCUUGUGAUAGAAAAACUAAGAACCAAAAUACCUUGUUCUUCUUAUUUUCUUUAGUGCUGGGUUUUCUACAUUAUGAAAUAUAUCUUUGUUAGAUUCUAGCUCCUAGAUUUGUACCAGAAGAGCUUGUUGAAUUCUGGGGGCACACCCAUACCGGGUGAAAUAUCCUUAAGGACAGUGUCUUAAGUGACAUGCCUCAAGCUUUCAAGAAUUUCCUGCAUGCAAGAUUCGUGAUCAAGUAUUUUUCCGAUAAAUUUUUGUGAUCAAGUAUUUUCGGUAAGAUUUCCAACAAUAUAACCACACAUUUCUCCUUGUUUUUUUUCCUUUUGAUCUCCUAAGCGUUGCGUGGUUGGCUUUCUACCAUGGACAACAAUGUUGUUAAGUGAAUGUAAUGGCGGAGACAGAAUUUUCAUCAAAGAGAGUUCAUUAUUUACUAUAUACACAUAAAAAAUAAAA